GACAGAGGGUGCAAACGUUGUUCGGAAUUACUGGGCGUAAAGCGCGUGUAGGCUGCUCUGCAAGUCGGAUGUGAAAGCCCUGGGCUCAACCUAGGAAGUGCACUCGAAACUGCAGAGCUUGAGUCCUGGAGAGGAAGGCGGAAUUCUCGGUGUAGAGGUGAAAUUCGUAGAUAUCGAGAGGAACACCGGUGGCGAAGGCGGCCAACUGGACAGAUACUGACGCUGAGACACGAAAGCGUGGGGAGCAAACAGG
rnacentral:rRNA from 1 species